rnacentral:pre_miRNA from 1 species
UUUGACUCUUUGUCUUAUUUGAAUUUUUUAAAGAUUAAUAUUUUUAUUGUUAUCACAUGAUAAAACAUAACUAGUACUUUACAUGUGACUAUUUUUUUUAACUUUUUCAUAAAUUUUUCAAAUAAAACGGAUGGUCAAA